rnacentral:rRNA from 1 species
GACGAACCGUGCGAACGUUGUUCGGAAUCACUGGGCUUAAAGGGCGCGUAGGCGGGCACGCAAGUCAGGGGUGAAAUCCUCCGGCUCAACCGGAGAACGGCUUUUGAUACUGCGUGCCUCGAGGGGGGUAGGGGCAUGUGGAACUUCCGGUGGAGCGGUGAAAUGCGUAGAUAUCGGAAGGAACGCCGGUGGCGAAAGCGGCGUGCUGGACCUCUUCUGACGCUGAGGCGCGAAAGCUAGGGGAGCAAACGGG